CCUACGGGAGGCAGCAGUGAGGAAUAUUGGUCAAUGGCCGUAAGGCUGAACCAGCCAAGUCGCGUGAAGGAAGAAGGAUCUAUGGUUUGUAAACUUCUUUUAUAGGGGAAUAAAGGUAUCCACGUGUGGAUAUUUGCAUGUACCCUAUGAAUAAGCAUCGGCUAACUCCGUGCCAGCAGCCGCGGUAAUACGGAGGAUGCGAGCGUUAUCCGGAUUUAUUGGGUUUAAAGGGUGCGUAGGUUGUUUUUUAAGUCCGCGGUGAAAGUUGGUGGCUCAACCAUAAAAUUGCCGUUGAAACUGGAAGACUUGAGUGUGUUUGAGGUAGGCGGAAUGCGUGGUGUAGCGGUGAAAUGCAUAGAUAUCACGCAGAACUCCGAUUGCGAAGGCAGCUUACUAGGCCAUAACUGACACUGAAGCACGAAAGCGUGGGGAUCGAACAGGAUUAGAUACCCUUGUAGUC
rnacentral:rRNA from 1 species